AAAAUAAUCCGGACACCAGAAUUCUC
rnacentral:piRNA from 1 species